AAGCAAAAAUCAAGUAUUCAAAGUUAUAAUCUAGAAUUAGAAAGAGAAGGUUCUUGUGAGUUAGAUUAAUUUAAAAUUGCAAAGGAUUAAUUAAAGCUUGCAACUUCAAGAGGUAAAAUCCCUAGUCGUUAUUAUGUUCGUUUUUCAUUCAUAUGAUAGUCUAUAAGCUCAAGAACAUAAGUCAUGGCCAUCUACGUUUUUCUUUCUCCGCAUUCUUCAUAAGUUCUUGAGCAAAUAGUUGUUAUGUUCAAUUUUAUGUAAUAUUAUAGUAGAAAUCUCAAGAACACAAGUCGUUACCAUGUUCGGUUUUCCAACUCAAUGUUUCUUCAAGUGUUCUUGAGCAAAUAUAAUAUUAUUUAAGAUUAUGUUUUCAAAUUUAAAUUAUCAUAAAUCACAUGUGUAAGCCUUUAUAAUUCCUAAAUUAUUUCAAGUAUGAAAUCCAAAAGCUCAAGAACAUAAGUCGUUACUAUAUAUGUACGAUUUUUCGUUCUUUGUGUUCUUCGUGUAUUCUUGAGCAAAAGUCAUAAAUCGUACAUAAAUAGGUUAAUGAUUUUUUUUAUUUUUAUGUUAUUCAAGGUUAUUUAGUGUUAGAACAUGAUAAAUUAGAUUUAUUAUUCUUGUGGUAUCAUGUUUUACCAAGUGGAAUGAAAAGAAUUUUGAACAAAUUUUCAUUCUGACCUUUUUGCCCAUUUUCUGAACCUUUAAAGUCUGAAUAUGCUUCUGAAAUGUAAAAGAAAGUUGUAGAACAGAAAAUUCUAAUGAAUUUAGACUGAAGAAUCACCUUAAAAUGUUUUGUUAUGAGAAAGUUAUGGCAAUUUCCGUAAAGGAUGUCAAAGCUGAAAAGUUUAAGGGGGCUCUCGGAUUUGAAGUCUUAAAAUGACAUUUUAAGCUAGCCACUUAUCUAAGUAAUUCCAUCUAUGGAAAUAGUUUUAACAAGUUAUAAAAACACUUAUUAAGAAGUAAAACUCGAUAAACUAACAUUAAGGUUAAAAAAUUGACCGAUAUAUAUAUGGUGUUAUCCAUAUAUACGAAUGAACUACAAGUUGAUACUUGUAGAAAGAAUGAGAUAGAGAUCAAGUUAAAAUUUAGGGAUGAAAUUCAGAAAAUUUAUAGUUUUAUAGUCUGUAAUAGACUAAUUCAACCAAUAUAAUUAUGUGAUCAUUGGUUAAGUUACGAAAAAUGUUAGUUAACAUGAACCCUUAUUCGGACGGUCAACGUCCAGAUUCGGGGGCGUUAGAACUAGUCUCUUGAAAGUUAUGAUAGUCGUAAUUCGUAAAGCUAAUUUGAAAGUUUAUUUCAUUUGUGGAGUCCUUGCAAAUUUUCCAAGUUGCUUCAUAUUGUUUUUGUUUGGAAGUUGUACUAGAGUUAAACUUAAUAUAAGGGAUAAAUUGAGCAAGAUAAAUAUGACAGAGUUCAAUACUAUGCUGUCUCUCACCGUUAUAUAUAUAUAUAUAUAUAUAUAAUAUUAAUUUGAAAUACAAACUGCAUCAAAUUAUGAACAUCCAUUUGUUAUACAUAACAACCCAAAUUUAUAAGAGUUUAAAUUAGGUAGAAUACCUCAAGUUACGUUGGACAAAGGAGACCAAACCGAGUAAGAGACCUAUUUGAAUGGAUUAUAGUUAUUAUCUCAAUAACUAGUUUUGCUUGGUCUAAGAAUGAUAUGCUAUAUGAGAUUACUAACAUCCAAAUUCAAGAACAAAACACUGUUUUAAGAUAGAAUAUUUCAAUCAUUUUAGUUAAUUCUCAUCUUUUUUAACUUACACACGUCUCCGUGUGUUAGGUUUACAAAGUUUAUCUAUUAUAAAAUAACACUUAGCUUUCUGAAUUAGCCAGUUCAAGUAAUGUCAAUCAAAGUCUAUUAAAUUUUACAGUAGUGUUUAAUAUAAUAGUGUCCAUUUUAACUUUUCAUGGCUGGACUUUCAACUAAACGCGCUCUUAAUUUCCUAACCACUACAAAGCUAGAUUAAUCCUUUUAUAAAGAAGCACUUGAAUUCGCUUUAUGAUUAAUUAAUUUAUUCCCAACCUGUAUUUGUCUUAUCAUAAGCAAAAUCAAUCAAUUCACUUCGAUUCUUUUUCUUAAUGUGUACUUGAAUUUAAAAGGUUUACGCGCAAUCUUGUUUGAUGUUAAUAUAUGGGUUUAGUGGCAUCCUCCACGAGUCCACUUGAGGGAGAAGCUAGAGCAUUGCUUGAUGGUUUGUUAUUAUGUGUCGAGCUUCAACUAUCAUCUAUUAUUGUGUUGUGCGACUUUUUUUUUAAAUCUAUUGCAUACAAAAUAAGUGUCUCUUCCUUGGACCAGUAUAUAUCAUUCGUCGUUGUCAGUCUUUCAUUCAAUUGGCAUCCGUUAAUCACGUAUACAAAUAGUGUAACUUAAUUUGUAACGAUUUUUUUAGUUUUAGUUCCCUCCUAGCAUAUUGCGUUUGCCUUGUCCAUGAGUAAGACUGUAAAAUGAGCAAACAGUUCGGGCUCGAUUCGUACUCGCUCGACUAAAAGUUCGAUUCGAGCUCGACUCGAAAUAUAAAUGAGUCAAAUAUGAGCAAAUUUUAAAGUUCGAUAAAUUACUCGAACAUCCUCAAAUUAUAAUUUUCUAUUGAUACUCGGAUCAUAUUCGUUCAAAAAGUUUAAACUGCUUGGGUUCGAUUCGGAAUCGUGCUCGAUUUAGAAUCGUGCUCGACUCAGUAGUUAAAUAAGCCUCAAUCAAACUUUAUUUUAUACUCAAUAAAUUUUAUAAAUUAAAUCUAAAUAACUCAAUACUCGACUCGAUUCAUUUCCAUCAAAAUCCUUGAGGACUCCAUGGGUGAACAACGUCUUCGUCCACUUUAGAUUAACUUUAUUUAUGAGUACUCUAAGUAGUUGAUUUAUUAUUUAUUUUUUUUGCUUUAUUUGAGUUUGUGUGUUGAGGUUAAGUUUCACCCUUAUUAGGUAAGUUCAUAAUCUACCCUUAUUUAUUUAGACCCUUAUAUCUUGCUUUUAAUUCUAUAUUAGAGAUAUUCAUGCAUGAUUGCCAUGUUUGAUGCAUGUAUUGUUUUGUGACAUACGUUUUUAGGCAUGCAACCAAAUGACCAAUGCAAGACUAAAAAUUCAAGUUUUUAUAUCUGAUAAUAUGUGUACAUUUUAAAUGGUAGUAUAUAUACAUUUUAUACAUAUAUUAUUAAAUUAUAAAAUAUAAUCUCAUAUAUAUUUGAUUGUGCAAUUAUUUUUAAAAAAGAAAAAAAAAUAGAAAAC
rnacentral:lncRNA from 1 species